GCAAUGGUGCAUGGGGGCUUGUCUUCACACAUAAAAUAUUUCAGGGCUGUGACUCAUCGGCGUUCAUUUCAGCCGUCCCCCAGCCUCUAUUAGGAGCUAUUUAUGGAUCCAAUUAUUUGUAGAUGUGUUUAGUGGCCUUUCAAAGGCACAUGGGAAAAAAUAUGCAUCAUCUGACAGUGUAGUCACAGGCUGAUUCAUUUUCUGUCUGGCAUUUCUCCCAAACCUUGAGCUCAGCAGAAACAGCAGAUGAUAUUUAUCUUCAGAUCAUCAAUAAAUGCUCUGUUGUGUCAUCAAUGCUGGUGACCCAUUGCUGCAGUGAACAUAUAAGACGGUCAAGAUAUCUGCAGAUUUUUUUGCUUCAAACACCAGGUUUUCUACGGUUAGAGGAAAUGUGUUAGAUUUAUUUUGUUUUAAAUCAUAGUUUGUCAAAUCUGAUACAUUUGUCUACCUAAAACCCCACUGCAAGCCUCCAGCUUUCUCUACAAUGGUGUAUUCUGCUGAAAAGAAAUCUGGUGCACUGGCUCUGGAUAUCAGCAAACAUCACAUAAUGCCACAUAGUGUAGAAAGCAAUAUUGGACACCGCUUGUUUCUACACAGAACAUGUGUAGUGCGACAUGGCAAUGGUUGUAAAAAAACGUGUAUUUGCUGUAACAACUCGAC